AGAGAACAACUCAGGAGCAGCUGCAACAUUUCUUAAUGUUCUGCAAGCAGCAUCCUGAGUUGCAACGCGGGAAGCUAACUCCGACCAACCCUCAAGGGCUGCAAAUGCUUUGGUCGGAGUUAGCAGAUACUCUCAACGACGCGUACAGCAGCCAAGUGGAGGGAGUCUUUAAUGCAUUGGAAACAUCAAUUGCGUUCGCGUGCGCGAAAAAUUAAGACGCAUACGCAAGCAACUGGUGGAGGCCCUCCGGGGCCGAGUUUAUCGGAGUUUGAGGAGCGGGUGUUGGAGCUUUGGGUCAUCAGAUUUUGCCGGCGGUAUAUAUAAAUACGUAUCCGCUUCCCGUUGAAGCUCCAUUUCUUUUGGCAUCGUGUACUCUUACACCUCCUGCUCCAGCUCCAGCCUCCUCCUCAGCAGCCACAUCACCGGCUCCAGC